CUUAAAAGGCCUCUUCUCAAAUUAAUUUUCCCUACAUCCUCCCUUGCUGGCACAUCAAAUUUGAUACUGUUUCUGUUGACAGUUGUCAUUUUAAAAGUGCCUAUCAAGUUACCAGAUAUGGACUAUUCAGAUAUAGUAAGAUGAACAUGAUUGACAGCAUAACGACAGAUCAGACAUGGGAGUGACUACUUGAAGAACCAUUGAUGUGGAAGACACCAAGAUUCACUAUCUCAAGUCCUACCAGAAUGCUGAGGGAGGAAAACAUUCCUUCCAGCCUGGUGUCCGGAGGAAAUCUCUUAAUCAAUUAUUUCCUUAGGUGGAAGCUUCUUUUCUCACUCCUAUUCUUCAAUAUAACAAAAGAAGAAGCUUCAAAUGAAGUUAAUAUAAAACCAAAGACAGCAAAGAGGAGAACCAGAGGCUGAGAAGAGGAAAUGCCAACUUCUUACAGGAUAAUGUGACUUCCUUUUUAAAGACAAAAAAAAAAAAAAUCUUUUCAGAUUGUCUUGUCAAGGCAUAAAUGUGGCUCCUAAAUGUCUAACGAAAGGGAAAUAAUUUAACAAAUUAUAAGUACUUUCAUACAAUGCAAUAUUUUGAGCCAAUUAAGUGGAUUUUUCUUAAUUGGAUAAAAUUUUAGUAUGGAGAAAUCCUCAAAAUAAAAUGACAAGUGAUAAAAAUCAGGAUAGAAGCCUGAUCACUUGGAAGGUAAGCACACACACACACACAAAGAAAAGAUAUGCAUGAUCAUUAUACAAAAUACAUGUAUCAAGAUGUGAAUUUGUUGUCAACAUACCUUAUAUACAAACAGAGAUACGAUAAAUGGUGGUAUAUAGGUGUAUUAAGAAUUGUAUGCAAAAAAAUAACAGAGCUCAUGAAUAAUGGUAUAAUUUGGCGUGAACAUACUUUAUAUGGAGAGUUACGAAAAAAUUGUUCUGUGAAUGGAUAAUUAUGAAUGUAAUGCCUUCCAUAUUGCCAUGUAUGUAAGAAAUUUUAAGAAAGAAAGAAAUAUAAACAGAGGUUGUUACUAAAUGUUUUGCUACAAGAUUUGGGGGUUUUAUGUUUGUUUGUUUGUUUGUUUGCUGUGCUGGGGAUCAAACUCAGGGCCUUCUUCAUACAAGUGCUCUUCCAUGGAGCUACACCCUCAGUCCAAGUUUUAAAAAUAUAUAUUCUUCCUCAUUUUCCAAACAUUUAUGAGCAUGUAUUUUUUUUUAAAUAAAAAAAUGGCUGCAAAAUAGUGCAAAAGUUGAAUAUUGUGGCUUCAAUGUAGAUAACACUUUGGAGUCAGGAGUAUAGGUCAGUGAUAAAGCACUUACUUAGCACAUGCAAGGCUCUGGGUUCAAUCACCAGCACUGAAAAAAUUUUCUCAAGACUAUAGUUUCCAAAAGUAAAAAUGUGAUUUUUAUAGUCCUUUUUCAUUGUGAAUAGAAAUACGAAUUUUCUAUGUUAUUCUGCCUGAUUCUCAGUGUUUCUUUAUAUAUUCUUAUUGCACUAAAUUGUUCAGAUCUUCCCACCAUCAACAGAUUUUUUUCAGGAAUACCUGUUAAAUGUUUUGGGCAAAUGACUUUUAGACAACUGAGACUCAGCCAUGCAAAAUAAUCCUGUAGUUCACUAAGAGUUUUCUUCCAGUUUA